rnacentral:tRNA from 1 species
UCCUUGGUGGCUCAGAGGGUAAAGCGUCUGCCUACAAUGCAGGAGACCUGGGUUCAAUCCCUGGGUCAGGAA